GGGAGAUCUGCCUCAGUUAGGACACAGAGUGAGCCAUGGAAGCCCCAGCUCGCCUUCUCUGCCUUCUGUUACUCUGGCUCCCAGAUAUCACCGGAGAAAUCGUGCUGACACAGUCUCCAGCCUCCCUCUCCUUGUCUCAAAAAGGACAAGUCACCAUCACCUGCCGGGCCAGUCAGAGUGUUAGCAGCUACUUAGCCUGGUACCAGCAAAAACCUGGGCAGGCUCCCAAGCUCCUCAUCUAUGGUGCAUCCAACAAGGCCACUGGUGUCCCAUCCCGGUUCAGUGGCAGUGGGUCUGGGACAGACUUCACCUUCACCAUCAGCAGCCUGGAGCCUGAAGAUGUUGCAGUUUAUUACUGUCAGCAGUAUAAUAACGGAUAUACACAGUGA